ACGACCAUACCCACUGGAGAACUCGGGAUCCCGUCCGCUCUCCCAUAGAUAAGCCAGUGAGGGCCGGAUUAGUAGUUGGGUCGGUGACGACCAGCGAAUACCUGGUGUUGUAUGUA
rnacentral:rRNA from 1 species